rnacentral:rRNA from 1 species
AGUUAUAUGCUUGUCUCAAAGAUUAAGCCAUGCAUGUCUAAGUACACACGAAUUAACAGUGAAACCGCAAAAGGCUCAUUAUAUCAGUUAUGGUUCCUUAGAUCGUUAACAGUUACUUGGAUAACUGUGGUAAUUCUAGAGCUAAUACAUGCAAUAUAAACACGGACCUUUGGGACGUGUGCUUUUAUUAGGCUAAAACCAAGCGAUCGCAAGAUCGUUACUUUGGUUGAACUCUAGAUAACUUGCAGAUCGUAUGGUCUCGUACCGACGACAGAUCUUUCAAAUGUCUGCCCUAUCAACUUUUGAUGGUAGUAUCUAGGACUACCAUGGUUGCAACGGGUAACGGGGAAUCAGGGUUCGAUUCCGGAGAGGGAGCCUGAGAAACGGCUACCACAUCUAAGGAAGGCAGCAGGCGCGUAAAUUACCCACUCCCAGCUCGGGGAGGUAGUGACGAAAAAUAACAAUACAGGACUCAUAAAAGAGGCCCUGUAAUUGGAAUGAGUACACUUUAAAUCCCUUAACAAGGACCUAUUGGAGGGCAAGUCUGGUGCCAGCAGCCGCGGUAACUCCAGCUCCAAUAGCGUAUAUUAAAGUUGUUGCGGUUAAAACGUUCGUAGUUGAACUUGUGCUCCAUACGGGUAGUGCAGCUAAUAAUUGUAGUUUGUACUAUACCUUAUGUAUGCGAGCGUAUUACCGGUGGAGUUCUUAUAUGUAUUAAAUACUUGUAUUUUUGCAUGUUCCUCCUAUUUAAACCUGCUUCAGUGCUCUUUAUCGAGUGUUGUUGUGGGCCGGUACAAUUACUUUGAACAAAUUAGAGUGCUUAAAGCAGGCUCCAAAUGCCUGAAUAUUUUGUGCAUGGAAUAAUGAAAUAAGACCUCUGUUCUACUUUCAUUGGUUAUUAGAUCAAGAGG